AUUGAACGCUGGCGGCAUGCUUUACACAUGCGAGUCGAACGGCAGCGCGGGCUUCGGCCUGGUGGCGAGUGGCGAACGGGUGAGUAAUACAUCGGAACGUGCCCAGUAGUGGGGGAUAGCUCGGCGAAAGCCGGAUUAAUACCGCAUACGACCUGAGGGUGAAAGCGGGGGAUCUUCGGACCUCGCGCUAUUGGAGCGGCCGAUGGCAGAUUAGCUAGUUGGUGGGGUAAAGGCCUACCAAGGCGACGAUCUGUAGCUGGUCUGAGAGGACGACCAGCCACACUGGGACUGAGACACGGCCCAGACUCCUACGGGAGGCAGCAGUGGGGAAUUUUGGACAAUGGGCGAAAGCCUGAUCCAGCAAUGCCGCGUGUGUGAUGAAGGCCUUCGGGUUGUAAAGCACUUUUGGCGGGAACGAAAAGGACUGUGCCAAUACCACGGUUCGAUGACGGUACCCGCAGAAUAAGCACCGGCUAACUACGUG
rnacentral:rRNA from 1 species